rnacentral:tRNA from 1 species
UAGAUAAUACUAUUUUAUUUAUUCUUAUUAUA